AGAGUUUGAUCCUGGCUCAGGACGAACGCUGGCGGCGUGGAUUAGGCAUGCAAGUCGAGCGACGAACCUUCGGGUUACGGAGCGGCGAACGGGUGAGUAACACGUGAGAAACCUACCCCUUCAUUCCGGAUAAUUGGAAGAAAUUCCUUGUAAUACGGGGGAGGAUGCAACUGUGGCAUCACAGAUGUAUCGAACAAGCAAUUGGUGCAGGGACGGUCUCGCGGCUUAUCAGGUAGUUGGUGGGGUAACGGCCUACCAAGCCUACGACGAGUAGCUGGUCUGAGAGGAUGGUCAGCCACAUUGGAACUGAGACACUGUCCAGACUCCUACGGGAGGCUGCAGUCGAGAAUCUUGGGCAAUGCACGAAAGUGUGACCCAGCGACGCCGCGUGAAGGAUGAAGGCCCUCUGGGUUGUAAACUUCUUUUACGGGAGAAGAAACAAUGACGGUAUCCCGUGAAUAAGCCACGGCUAACUACGUGCCAGCAGCCGCGGUAAUACGUAGGUGGCAAGCGUUGUCCGGAUUUACUGGGCGUAAAGCGAGCGCAGGCGGAUGGUUAAGUAGGAAGUGAAAGGUUGGAGCUCAACUCCAACAUUGCUUCCUAUACUGGCUAUCUUGAGUCCCGGAGGGGAAGGCGGAACGAUACGUGUAGCGGUGAAAUGCGUUGAUAUGUAUCGGAACACCAAUGGCGAAGGCAGCUUUCUGGACGGGAACUGACGCUCAGGCUCGAAAGCCAAGGUAGCGAACAGGAUUAGAUACCCUGGUAGUCUUGGCCCUAAACUAUGAUCACUAGGUGUCGGGGGGUUUCCCUCGGUGCCGCAGCUAACGCAUUAAGUG
rnacentral:rRNA from 1 species